AGAGGACUGUAGCUCAAAGGCAGAACAUCUGCUUUGCUUACAGAAGGUCUCAGGUUCAGUCCCUGGCAUCUCUA